CCUACGGGGGGCAGCAGUGGGGAAUAUUGCACAAUGGGCGGAACCCUGAUGCAGCGACGCCGCGUGAGUGAUGAAGUAUUUCGGGAUUUAAAGCUCUAUCAGCAGGGAAGAAAAUUAUGGUACCUGACUAAUAAGCCCCGUCUAACUACGUGCCAGCAGCCGCGGGAAUACGUAGGGGGCAAGCGUUAUCCGGAUUUACUGGGUGUAACGGGAGCGCAGACGGCUUUGCAAGUCUGGAGUGAAAGGGGGGGGCCCAACCGCCGAACUGCUGUGGAAACUGUAAAGCUGGAGUGCAGGAGAGGUGAGCGGAAUUCCUGGUGUAGCGGUGAAAUGCGUAGAUAUUAGGAGGAACACCAGUGGCGAAGGCGGCUUACUGGACUGCAACUGACGUUGAGGCUCGAAAGCGUGGGGAGCAAACAGGAUGAGAUACCCCAGUAGUC
rnacentral:rRNA from 1 species